AUUCCAGCUCCAAUAGCGAAUACUAAUUCUGCUGCAGUUAAAAAGCUCGUAGUUGAACUUCUGGUAGGACAGAUCCGGCCUUUGGAUGAAUGUCCAUUGUAUGCUGUGUGUCUUGUCUGGCCAUCCUUUAUGUCUUUUAGGCGUAAUCUUUCACUGUAAAAAAAUUAGGGUGUUUCAAGCAAAAGUUAUUUGGAAUAUAUUAGUAUGGGAUGAUAAGAUAGGCUCUUGAGUGCUACUUUGUUGGUUUCUAGUACUGAAGUAAUGAUUGAUAGGGAUAGUUGGGGGUGCUAGUAUUGAGCGGCCAGAGGUGAAAUUCUCAGACCAGCGGAAGACGAACCACUGCGAAAGCAUUUGCCAGGGAUGUUUUCAUUG
rnacentral:rRNA from 1 species